rnacentral:rRNA from 1 species
AGAGUUUGAUCCUGGCUCAGGAUGAACGCUGGCGGCGUGCUUAACACAUGCAAGUCGAGCGGGAAAUUUCUGACUGAUUCCUUCGGGAUGAAAUCGGAAAUGGAGAGCGGCGGAUGGGUGAGUAACGCGUGGGAAACCUGCCCUGUACAGGGGGAUAGCCUCGGGAAACCGGGAUUAAUACCCCAUAAUGUUUCUUCAUCGCAUGAUUUAGAAAUCAAAACUCCGGUGGCACAGGAUGGUCCCGCGUCCCAUUAGCUAGUUGGUGAGGUAACAGCUCACCAAGGCGACGAUGGGUAGCCGGCCUGAGAGGGUGAACGGCCACACUGGAACUGAGACACGGUCCAGACUCCUACGGGAGGCAGCAGUGGGGGAUAUUGCACAAUGGAGGAAACUCUGAUGCAGCGACGCCGCGUGAGCGAAGAAGGUCUUCGGAUCGUAAAGCUCUGUCCUAAGGAAAGAUAGUGACGGUACCUUAGGAGGAAGCCCCGGCUAACUACGUGCCAGCAGCCGCGGUAAUACGUAGGGGGCGAGCGUUAUCCGGAAUUAUUGGGCGUAAAGGGUUCGCAGGCGGCCUUGUAAGUCAGAUGUGAAAGACAGCGGCUUAACCGUUGUAAGCAUUUGAAACUGCAGGGCUUGAGUACAGGAGAGGAAAGCGGAAUUCCUAGUGUAGCGGUGAAAUGCGUAGAUAUUAGGAAUCCCGCGGCCAUGGCGGCCGGGAGCAUGCGACGUCGGGCCCAAUUCGCCCUAUAGUGAGUCGUAUUACAAUUCACUGGCCGUCGUUUUACAACGUCGUGACUGGGAAAACCCUGCGUUACCCAACUUAAUCGCCUUGCAGCACAUCCCCCUUUCGCCAGCUGGCGUAAUAGCGAAGAGGCCCGCACCGAUCGCCCCUUCCCAA